AGCGAACGCUGGCGGCAGGCCUAACACAUGCAAGUCGAACGAACCUUUCGGGGUUAGUGGCGGACGGGUGAGUAACACGUGGGAACGUGCCUUUAGGUUCGGAAUAACUCAGGGAAACUUGUGCUAAUACCGAAUGUGCCCUUCGGGGGUAAGAUUUAUCGCCUUUAGAGCGGCCCGCGUCUGAUUAGCUAGUUGGUUGAGGUAAUGGCUCACCAAGGCGACGAUCAGUAGCUGGUCUGAGAGGAUGAUCAGCCACAUUGGGACUGAGACACGGCCCAAACUCCUACGGGAGGCAGCAGUGGGGAAUCUUGCGCAAUGGGCGAAAGCCUGACGCAGCCAUGCCGCGUGAAUGAUGAAGGUCUUAGGAUUGUAAAAUUCUUUCACCGGGGACGAUAAUGACGGUACCCGGAGAAGAAGCCCCGGCUAACUUCGUG
rnacentral:rRNA from 1 species